UUUUUACUGAUUUUCAACUCUGUUUUUGGUUCAUUUUUUAUUUUCCCGAGCUAAUUUUUUUGUCAUCUUCCCCAUAUGGGUUGUAAGUUAUGUGUUUGAUGAAAUGCCUAAAUGAAGUUUUAGUUUUUAAUCUUAAAAAUUUUCCCCUCUCUUUUUAUUUUAUUUUUGUGGUUGAGUCACGAGAUUCUUCUCCUGUUAAAGCUGUUCACGCACUUUAUAACAAUAUAUAUGAGUGUGAUUUUCAAUUUCUUGAAUCUGAAAUCUAAUUACAUGCAUGUUUUCUGUAUAGGCUCUUCAAACUAUUGGAGAUUCUCUGUAACUUCAAUCCAAGCAAGUUGACGUUGUCCAAUAGAUCAAAGAUUUCUAUAAGAUCUCCAGAAUCAAGAGACAAGGAGAUUCAUGGAUGCGAAAAAAUCCAAAAAGAAACACAAACAAGAUACAUAGAGAGUAUGGUUCAGGGUCGUGCUACUCUUAGAAAGCAAUGAGUAAUCCCUUUGCAGCGUGCUCACCAAGUGUUUGAGAAUAUCACGCAGCGAAAGAUUCCCGAAACCCAAAUUCACGCCAUGUGCCUUGCAUGCCCAUCAAGGCUGAUUUGAAGUGGCCGAAAGAGGCAUGGAUUCUGGGUCAAGAUGUUUCUGCUGGGUUCACUCCUAGCAUGUAUAUUAUUCUUUUCCCUCACUUCUGGCUCCCGCUGUGUGCUCUGCUUCACACGACUGCCUCUCAUCCACUCCCUAUUGCUGCAAUUUCCCAGCAUCUUGGUUUUCCAUUCUUCAGUGCAUACAUAUACUCAAUUGGAACAAGUUACAGGCAUGGAGCAAACUUAAUUUGUUGCAGGAUCAUCAACCAUUAGGCGCCAAAAAAGGACAGUCUUUGAGGGUGGCACUCCUUUCACUUUUGAAAUACAGGUUGCACAGUUCAACCAGUUUAAGGCACGCAUCGGAAAGUUCUUCAGGCAAGGUUCUUCCAAGAUAUCUAUAUACACAUGACAUAAUAUAUUUAACUUAGCCUCUAUUUCGAUGAUGAAGUGAUUUUACAUUUCUUCUAUAUCAUCAAAUAUGUUAGUUUGUUAGAAUAUUAGUUUUUAUUAGAGAUUGAACUUAUAACCUUUUUUCUUUUUCUUCUCCUUUCAAUUCACCUUAUAUUUCUAUCGUGAAGUAAUUUUAUGUUAUAUAAUGCUACUUAAAUGUGUGUUGGUGAUAUGCAUGUAGAAGGGAGAAACUCCUUCAUAUAACACUUUCCUAGGCUAGAGGACUUUGCCAAGGCUAUCUACAUAUUUGAUAUUGGGCAAAAUGAUAUUGUUGCUGCUAUUAACAGAGUGGGCCAGGAAGAUUCUCAUGCAGUCAUCUCAGACAUUGUGGAUUAUUUUGAAAACCAACUCCAAGUAAAAACUCCACACCAGUUUUUAGGUCUACCACAGGGAGCAUGGUUUCAAAAUGGUGGGUUCGAGAUUGCUGUGUUAGAUUUGGGUCUACAAACUAGCAAAAACUCCACACCUGUAGAUUUAAAUACUAAGUUUAGAUUUGGUGUUCUACCUACGAUACUUAAUGAAUUAUGAUUAAAUUGAAAAUCCAUGUUUUGGUAAA